UGCCCAGCAACUCCUAUCCCUACCUCCUCGUGGUACUGGCCGGGGUACGAGUAACCUUAGAGAAGAUCGGGUAACCAACCCCCGGUGGGAACUUUGGUCGUAUGCUGACAGGGAAGG
rnacentral:ribozyme from 1 species